rnacentral:rRNA from 1 species
CUUUGAUUAUGGCUCAGGACGAACGCUGGCGGCGUGCCAAACACAUGCAAGUCGAACGAAGCUUGAUUUAUGAUUUCUUCGGAAUGAAUAAUGAUAUGACUGAGUGGCGGACGGGUGAGUAACGCGUGAGCAACCUGCCCUUCGGAACGGGAUAGCGUCUGGAAACGGACGGUAAUACCGUAUAACGUAUUUUUACCGCAUGAUAGAAAUACCAAAACUGAGGUGCCGAAGGAUGGGCUCGCGUCUGAUUAGAUAGUUGGUGGGGUAACGGCCUACCAAGUCGACGAUCAGUAGCCGGACUGAGAGGUUGAACGGCCACAUUGGGACUGAGACACGGCCCAGACUCCUACGGGAGGCAGCAGUGGGGAAUAUUGCACAAUGGGGGAAACCCUGAUGCAGCAACGCCGCGUGAAGGAAGACGGUUUUCGGAUUGUAAACUUCUGUUCUUAGUGAAGAUAAUGACGGUAGCUAAGGAGCAAGCCACGGCUAACUACGUGCCAGCAGCCGCGGUAAUACGUAGGUGGCAAGCGUUGUCCGGAAUUACUGGGUGUAAAGGGAGCGUAGGCGGGAAGCCAAGUCAGCUGUGAAAACUACGGGCUUAACCUGUAGACUGCAGUUGAAACUGGUUUUCUUGAGUGAAGUAGAGGUUGGCGGAAUUCCGAGUGUAGCGGUGAAAUGCGUAGAUAUUCGGAGGAACACCGGUGGCGAAGGCGGCCAACUGGGCUUUAACUGACGCUGAGGCUCGAAAGUGUGGGGAGCAAACAGGAUUAGAUACCCUGGUAGUCCACACUGUAAACGAUGAUAACUAGGUGUGGGGGGUCUGACCCCUUCCGUGCCGCAGCUAACGCAAUAAGUUAUCCACCUGGGGAGUACGACCGCAAGGUUGCAACUCAAAUGAAUUGACGGA